GGGGAGCGGUGCCGAUACAGACGGCCAUGAAUUCAAGAAUGCAGAAGAGAUGUGGAUGGAGCAGGUCGGAGACCCCACCAAGCGCACCCAAUGGUAUCGUGAAGGCGUAGGGUAUUGGCAAGGUGUUGAGGCUUCCGUUGAUGGGGUUUUGGGCGGCUAUGGCCAUGUUAACGAGGCCGAUAUCUUGGGCAGUGAAGUCUUUCUCAAAUCUAUUUUGGCCGAGCGUUUCCCUUUUGCUGGAAAAGACCGCCCCCUUGUCGCUCUUGAUUGUGGUUCGGGCAUUGGGAGAGUCACCAAGAAUCUUCUUAUCAGAUACUUUAACGAGGUUGAUCUUCUUGAACCUGUAUCACAUUUCCUAGAGGCUGCCCGUGGAAGCUUGGCUCCAGAAAA
rnacentral:misc_RNA from 1 species